CCUACGGGAGGCAGCAGUAGGGAAUCUUGCACAAUGGGCGCAAGCCUGAUGGAGCAAUGCCGCGUGGGUGAAGAAGGCCUUCGGAUCGUAAAACACUGUUGUUAGAGAAGAAAGUGCGUGAGAUUAACUGUUCACGUUUCGACGGUACCUAACCAGAAAGCCACGGCUAACUACGUGCCAGCAGCCGCGGUAAUACGUAGGUGGCAAGCGUUAUCCGGAUUUAUUGGGCGUAAAGGGAACGCAGGCGGUCUGUUAAGUCUGAUGUGAAAGCCUUGGGCUUAACCGGGGAAGUGCAUUGGAAACUGGGAGACUUGAGUGCAGAAGAGGGGGGUGGAACUCCAGGUGUAGCGGUGAAAUGCGUAGAUAUAUGGAGGAACACCAGUGGCGAAGGCGGCUCUCUGGUCUGUAACUGACGCUGAGGUUCGAAAGCGUGGGUAGCAAACAGGAUUAGAUACCCCUGUAGUC
rnacentral:rRNA from 1 species